GAUUAUGGCUCAGGAUGAACGCUGGCGGCGUGCUUAACACAUGCAAGUCGAACGGAGCCAAAAGGAAGCUUGCUUCUUUGAAGCUUAGUGGCGGACGGGUGAGUAACGCGUGAGCAACCUGCCCUUCAGUGGGGAAUAACACAGAGAAAUCUGUGCUAAUACCGCAUAACGUCUUCUUGCCGCAUGACAGGAAGACCAAAGGAUUUAUUCGCUGAAGGAUGGGCUCGCGUCCGAUUAGGCAGUUGGUGAGGUAACGGCUCACCAAACCAACGAUCGGUAGCCGAACUGAGAGGUUGAUCGGCCACAUUGGGACUGAGACACGGCCCAGACUCCUACGGGAGGCAGCAGUGGGGAAUAUUGGGCAAUGGGCGAAAAAGCCUGACCCAGCAACGCCGCGUGAAGGAAGACGGUCUUCGGAUUGUAAACUUCUUUGAUUGGGGAAGAACAAAAUGACCUACCCAAAGAACAAGUCACGGCUAACUACGUGCCAGCCGCAGC
rnacentral:rRNA from 1 species